rnacentral:rRNA from 1 species
AAGUUUGAUCAUGGCUCAGGAUGAACGCUGGCGGUAUGCCUAACACAUGCAAGUCGUACGAGAGUCUUUAACUCAAGUGGCGGACGGGUGAGUAACACGUGAGAAUCUGCCUUUAGGAGGGGGAUAACAACUGGAAACGGUUGCUAAUACCCCAUAUGCUUUCGAGUGAAAUAGAUUUAUCUGCCUAGAGAGGAGCUCGCGGCUGAUUAGCUUGUUGGUAGGGUAAUGGCCUCCCAAGGCGACGAUCAGUAUCUGGUUUGAGAGGACGAUCAGACACACUGGAACUGAGACACGGUCCAGACUCCUACGGGAGGCAGCAGUGGGGAAUUUUCCGCAAUGGGCGAAAGCCUGACGGAGCAAUACCGCGUGAGGGAAGACUGCCUAUGGGUUGUAAACCUCUUUUCUCAGGGAGGAACUCAAUGACGUGUACCUGAGGAAUAAGCAUCGGCUAACUCCGUGCCAGCAGCCGCGGUAAGACGGAGGAUGCAAGUGUUAUCCGGAAUCACUGGGCGUAAAGCGUCUGUAGGUGGUUUAAUAAGUCAACUGUUAAAUCUUGAGGCUCAACUUCAAAAUCGCAGUCGAAACUAUUAGACUAGAGUAUAGUAGGGGUAAAGGGAAUUUCCAGUGGAGCGGUGAAAUGCGUAGAGAUUGGAAAGAACACCGAUGGCGAAGGC